CAUGUCUCUGAGUGGCGGACUCUUUGUGCCUGGGCCGGCCUGUUUGUUUAGCCUUUCCUCAGAGAGCUGCUUAACACAUCGGUUGCCUCGCACACAUGACUGAGGAGGACGGGCUGAGCAGGCACAAAGACACAAAGUUUAGAAGCUGGCCUCCACAUCCCUCCAUCCGUCCAGACAUGGUGUGUUUUUGUCUCUGGUGUUGUGACAGCUCGGAUCCUGCAGCGUUCAGCUUACAUUCCUUUCAUCCUACAUCCCCCCCCCAGGGGUCGGCCCCACCUCUCCCAAUCACUGCCCCAGUGUGAAGGAGCCGGACAGAUGCAGGAACCGGCAGAUGAGGGCAAGCUCUGGUGCUCUUGUGACAAAUUUGUGCGUCCACCGUGGAGAUGAAGGGAAGUCUGUGGAGACACUGAGCCUGAAUGAGC